CAAUAAAUAUUGUAGUUAAAAGUUCCGGCUAGGCCGUGAAAAAAUUGACUAAGGGUGUGCGCUUUUAACUAUUACUCCCAAGCUCCAGACCGUGAAAAUUAUAUGGAUAAGUAAACACAUAAUAUCAGCUCGACGAUACCCAUUGACUUCAAUUCGUUAAUACUUCGCGAUAUUCGCUUCUUUUUGAAGCAAAGUUUUAUAAAAAGAUAUAUAUAAAAGCACGCGUGGAUUAAGUGCCUCGGAUGAUUGACCAACUGGCAGAUGUCUAGCCAGACUUAAUUAAAUUAAAAGGCAAAGAUUUCCAUGUCUGGCGAAACGCUGAUCAAUUAGUGCAAAUAUAAUAAUUCGAGAUAAUCCCCAAGGCAACUGGAAACAGAAAAUGGGAAGACUCCGCUCUUAUACACCGCGUAUAAGAUGAAUCACCAUCUGACAUGCGUACGCCUAGUGGAAUGCAUCUACUCAGGGCCUGCGAGUAUAGAAGAUACGCCCCCGGUUGUUGGCUUUUUGAAUGUGAAUGAAACGAAACAGCAGCAGCUAAAUGCGAAAAAAAAACCCGCGGAAGUGAGCCAUCGAGUUAACGGUGUGAAACAGAUUGCUGACUUAUUUGGCCAACUUUCGGCAAGGUCAAUGUCGGGUGUGCUCGUCUGCGGACUGGGCCAAAACAAGAUGAUCUCGAACCGGGCGUGAA